rnacentral:rRNA from 1 species
AGUGAACGCUGGCGGUAGGCCUAACACAUGCAAGUCGAACGGCAGCACAGUAAGAGCUUGCUCUUACGGGUGGCGAGUGGCGGACGGGUGAGGAAUACAUCGGAAUCUACUUUUUCGUGGGGGAUAACGUAGGGAAACUUACGCUAAUACCGCAUACGACCUACGGGUGAAAGAAGGGGAUCUUCGGACCUUGCGCGAUUGAAUGAGCCGAUGUCGGAUUAGCUAGUUGGCGGGGUAAAGGCCCACCAAGGCGACGAUCCGUAGCUGGUCUGAGGGGAUGAUCAGCCACACUGGAACUGAGACACGGUCCAGACUCCUACGGGAGGCAGCAGUGGGGAAUAUUGGACAAUGGGCGCAAGCCUGAUCCAGCCAUACCGCGUGGGUGAAGAAGGCCUUCGGGUUGUAAAGCCCUUUUGUUGGGAAAGAAAAGCAGCAGGUUAAUACCCCGCUGUUCUGACGGUACCCAAAGAAUAAGCACCGGCUAACUUCGUG